rnacentral:rRNA from 1 species
UACGAAGGGGACUAGCGUUGUUCGGAAUCACUGGGCGUAAAGCGCACGUAGGCGGAUGUGUCAGUCAGGGGUGAAAUCCCGGGGCUCAACCUCGGAACUGCCUUUGAUACAGCACGUCUCGAGUCCGGAAGAGGUGGGUGGAAUUCCUAGUGUAGAGGUGAAAUGCGCAGAUAUCAGGAAGAACACCGAUGGCGAAGGCAGCUCUCUGGGACGGUACUGACGCUGAGACGCGAAAGCGUGGGGAGCGAACAGG